rnacentral:lncRNA from 1 species
AUGAUUUAUAUUUCCCCACAGGGUCACGACAUACCGUCUUGAUCAGGUUUUCGGGUGGGAAAGACUUCGCUAUUGCUGCACAUGCCAACAUGAUCAGAGGUCUAAAAUACACGAUGACAAUGCUCAUGGGUUGCA